UGCGUAGGGGGCGAGCGUUGUCCGGAAUUACUGGGCGUAAAGCGCAAGUAGGUGGGGAAGUAAGUCCUGUGUGAAAGGCCCCGGCUUAACUGGGGUACCGCAUGGGAUACUGCUUUUCUUGAGGGGAGGAGAGGUGAGCGGAACUGCCGGUGUAGCGGUGAAAUGCGUAGAUAUCGGUAGGAACACCCGUGGCGAAAGCGGCUCACUAGCCUCUUACUGACACUCAGUUGCGAAAGCGUGGGGAGCAAACGGGAUUAGAAACCCGAGUAGU
rnacentral:rRNA from 1 species